rnacentral:tRNA from 1 species
GCUGGCGUAGCUCAAUAGGCAGAGCACCUCACUUGUAAUGAGGAUGUUGGGGGUUCGAUUCCUCUCGCCAGCUCCA